UGUAAACCGACACAGGUAGUCGGGAUGAGUAUUCUAAGGCGCUCGGGUGAGCCGCGGAGAAGGAACUAGGCAAAUUAAUGCUGUAACUUCGGGAUAAGGCAUGCCAGUAGCGAUACUGGCCUCAGUAAAUUGGUUCAACCAACUGUUUAGCAAAAACACAGGGCCCUGCAAAUUCGAAAGAAGACGUAUAGAGCCUGAUACCUGCCCGGUGCUGGAAGGUUAAGGAAGCUUGUUCGGAGUAAUCCAAAGCUUGUGACCGAAGCCCCAGUAAACGGCGGCCGUAACUAUAACGGUCCUAAGGUAGCGAAAUUCCUUGUCGGGUAAGUUCCGACCUGCACGAAUGGUCUAAUGAGUUGAACACUGUCUCCUCCGCGAGCCCGGUGAAAUUGUAGUAUCGGUGAAGAUGCCGGUUACCCGCCACGGGACGGAAAGACCCCGUGAACCUUCACUACAACUUUGCAUUGAUUUUGAGUAACAGAUGUGUAGCAUAGCUGGGAGACUAUGAAGCGGGUACGCCAGUAUCCGUGGAGUCACCGUUGAAAUACCAGCCUUCUGUUACUUAGAGUCUAACCUGGAAACGGGAACAUUGCAUGGUGGGUAGUUUGACUGGGGUGGUCGCCUCCUAAAGAGUAACGGAGGCUCGCAAAGGUUCCCUCAGCAUGGUUGGUAAUCAUGCGAAGAGCGCAUUAGUAAAAGGGAGCUUGACUGUGAGACUGACUAGUCGAGCAGGUGCGAAAGCAGGCUAAAGUGAUCCGGUGGUUCCGCAUGGAAGGGCCAUCGCUCAAAGGAUAAAAGGUACUCCCGGGAUAACAGGCUGAUCUCCCCCAAGAGCUCAUAUCGACGGGGAGGUUUGGCACCUCGAUGUCGGUUCGUCACAUCCUGGGGCUGGAGAAGGUCCCAAGGGUUGGGCUGUUCGCCCAUUAAAGUGGCACGUGAACUGGGUUCAGAACGUCGCAAGACAGUUCGGUCCCUAUCUGUGGUGGGCGCUAGUAAAUUGAAGGGGAUGUGAUCUUAGUACGAGAGGACCGGAUCGCGUGUACCGCUGGUGUAUCUGUUGUGCCGCCAGGUGCAGUGCAGAGUAGCUACGUACAGUACAGGAUAAGCGCUGAAAGCAUCUAAGCGCGAAGCCAACCUCAAGAUGAGUUUACUUACAUAAGAAGGGUCGCAGCAGACUACUGCGUUGAUAGGCUACAGAUGUAAUACUGGUAACAGUAGAGUCGAGUAGUACUAAUUACCCGUAAGCUUUAACC
rnacentral:rRNA from 1 species